CACGUAGGGGGCAAGCGUUGUCCGGAAUCAUUGGGCGUAAAGAGCUCGUAGGCGGCUCGGUAAGUCGGGUGUGAAACCCCCAGGCUCAACCUGGGGACGCCACCCGAUACUGCUGUGGCUAGAGUCCAGUAGGGGAGUGUGGAAUUCCGAGUGUAGAGGUGAAAUUCGUAGAUAUUCGGAGGAACACCAGUGGCGAAGGCGGCUCACUGGUCCAUUACUGACGCUGAGGUGCGAAAGCGUGGGGAGCAAACAGG
rnacentral:rRNA from 1 species